GACGAACGCUGGCGGCGUGCUUAACACAUGCAAGUCGAACGGAAAGGCCCUGCUUUUGUGGGGUGCUCGAGUGGCGAACGGGUGAGUAACACGUGAGUAACCUGCCCUUGACUUUGGGAUAACUUCAGGAAACUGGGGCUAAUACCGGAUAGGAGCUCCUGCUGCAUGGUGGGGGUUGGAAAGUUUCGGCGGUUGGGGAUGGACUCGCGGCUUAUCAGCUUGUUGGUGGGGUAGUGGCUUACCAAGGCUUUGACGGGUAGCCGGCCUGGGAGGGUGACCGGCCACAUGGGGACUGAGAUACGGACCAGACUCCUACGGGAGGCAGCAGUGGGGAAUAUUGCACAAUGGGCGGAAGCCUGAUGCAGCAACGCCGCGUGCGGGAUGACGGCCUUCGGGUUGUAAACCGCUUUCGCCUGUGACGAAGCGUGAGUGACGGUAAUGGGUAAAGAAGCACCGGCUAACUACGUG
rnacentral:rRNA from 1 species